UGCUCUAAGAGACGCCCAGGUAGUGGGUCACUUGCCUGAGUACAAUCGGUCGCAGUAUGAAGCUGUUGCUUGGUUCACACAUCACGCCAGGGUUGGAAUUGGACUAACGGUGUGAUCUCCCAGUAGCCGGGAUUCUCCAAUGAAUUAUGAAGCGACUAAGAAAACUGGCCCUUUGCCUGUUCAUAACUGUGGCCGUGUGUACAUGGUUCUGCAGCCAUAUUGGUCGCCUGUUUCUCCCACUUCAGCGAAUAUCACCAUGCCUGGCUGAAACCAGACCCUGUUGUGUUGAAAAGACCAACAUAUCGCUCGUACAACGCCAUGUAACAAAACCAGAAAAAAGUAGUUCUGUAGUGGAGGAUCUGUCAUUUCCGGUUGCGAGCGGUACCAUUUCCACGACUGUGGAUUUAAAUGCGAAUUUUCACUCCAAGAUAAAAAAGGUCUGGAUCCAGAGGCCGUGACGAUUUAUGAACAUGGACCGGAGUCAAUUUCACAUAUAUGGAAUUUAACACAGAAUAUAGUCUAUUCGCCGUAAGGUUUGGUAUCUCACACAAAGAGACGAGGGCUCUGAUAACAAAACCAAUGUGGUAUAUGACGCUGUGAAUAUAUUCACAUAUUGUUUAGGGAUGUUAGAAUAUAUCCAAUUGGUCUUAUUCUCAUAAUUGUUGAUGGUUCUGUGCUGUUUUUAGCAAUAUUAAAGCAAUAUCACCUCGGGGAACACCAGAACUUCACACAUUGUACCCAUGUGGGGAAUCGAACCUGGGUCUUCUAUGUGACGACCAAAGCUUUAAGCACUAGGCUAUCCCGCCGCCCCUUAAUCUAACAGAAGUUAGAUGGAUGGUGACAUGCUGCUCAUGUGAUCCAUACAUGAUAAAAUGUUUUUUCAAAAUUAUUUUUUGGGUGUGGGGUUGUUGUUUUGUUUUGUACACAGGAUUUAUUUGUUGACAAAAUUUUAUCAGAAGGAAACGUGAGCAUAGAAUGUAUAAAAACGAAUGGUGGUAUUUGCUUUGUAGACUAGCUUCAGCAGUUCAUAUGAGGUUUGUCUGUCUUGAAGAAUCUCAAGGAGAUCAAAACGGUAAUGUUGCCGUAGUUCCAAUGUCGUUCAUCUGCACACAGACAAUUUAUUAUACUACCUUUAUUCACAUGAUAAUUGUACCGGGUUCGGGUGGGGAUGGUUGAUGUCCCAUCCCAACCGUCAGUUUCAAGAAAUCUUGAGACAAAACGGAUUUAAAAAGAAAACUUUAACAAAUAAUAAAAGUCAAUGGAAAUC